rnacentral:tRNA from 1 species
GCGGGCGUGGUGGAAUUGGUAGACACGCUAGACUUAGGAUCUAGUGCCGCAAGGUGUGAGAGUUCGAGUCUCUCCGCCCGCACCA